GGUCCUCCAGGUCCUCCUGGUCCACCCGGACCUCCUGGACUUCCAGGCAGAGUUUUUGGACUCAAUGGGGUGAGUGUGCAUUUAUGGAAAGUGUGAAUUCUCUGUUUUAUUGCCUCUGUCUGUUUUUCUUUUGAACUGUCUUAGAAAAAAAAAGAGAAACCAUCAAAAAGAUGUAUUUGUUCUUCUAAGACCACAAUAAAAACUUUCUACAUGCUUUUAGGCUGUACCAAUACACAUUUAAAUCAACCAGAAUUCAAGUAGUUCUCAUAUUUUAAAACAGUCAAUGAUAAAAAACGAUAAUUAAGUAAAAUGUUAACAUUUUAAAUUGAUUUUUAAAAAAUGUUCGCCUAAGAAAACAGACAUUUUGAAUAUUUGAAGUAUUUAUGAUCAAUUUUAUGCUGGGUAAAUGUAGACAUUUUCUGUUAAAAUGCUGUACUUAAAGAAAAUAAUCUAAUAAUUGUAAGAAGUCCCACAAAAUGAAUCUCCCGCCGCCAUGCUUUAGUGUAGAACUUACUUAAUCACGAGUAUUUCAGGUUUUCUGUUUUUUAUUUAUUUACUUUGCUACAAAUGGCUUCUGUUUCUGUCAGUUCAUGAGGAAUAAACCAAUUUCACUUGCAUUCCAAAAUCCAAUACAUAUCCUGUAGUUAAAUGUAUUUUAAAGCAUUAUUUAUCUUUCUAUUUAUAGAUUAUAGUUGCCAGAUCUCAAAGUUGAAACAAUGUCUGUCAGUCUUAACUAAUAAAAAAAUGAAAUGAAAAUGAAAAACAAUGAGAAAAAAAGUAGAUAUGUAGAGAUCCACUUACUGGGUAAAAACAUUGAGGCGUUUUAGUAUUUGAUGCCCUCUGGCCAUGAUUUGUCACUAAAUUUUAGGAUUUUCUUAUGGGAUUUUGUUUUGACUUGUUGAUGUUUCUUUUCUUUUUUUUCUCUUGAUUGUAUGUGUUUUUUUUUUUAAACUGCUCUUCUUUGAAUGUUAAAGACAGUGUUCCCGGUGCGCCCCAGACCGCACUGCAAAAAAGGACUAGACUCGGAAAUGGCGGGGGAUUCACUGAGACUGAAAGGAGAAAAAGGAGAUGAAGGUGCGCCUGGUGAGCCGGGGACAUCUGCCCCCAGAUUACCUGAUGGAAUGAUGGGAGGUAAAGGGGAUCAGGGGUACAAAGGUGAGAAGGGUGACCCAGGUCCUCCUGGUCCUCCAGGACAACCAGGAAGGACUGGACUUGUGGUGAGUUUACGUGGACUUAAAGCUUUUUUGUAAAAAAAAAGAAAGAAAAGAAAUUGUAAUUGCGAACUUUUCAGCAGUAAAGGCUAAUCGAAAAAGUAAAGAAAAAUGAAUGACUUUAACCCUGUAAAGCCAAAUACAAUAAAGAAUUGACAGAAAAUGUAUUUUUCUGGAAUUAAGAUAGUUUUUAACUCCUUUGAUGAAAUCCACCAAAAGAUUGUAAUAUAUCAACAGUGCUAGUUUAAUGCUAGUUUAAUACCCAAAAACAUUGACAUCAGGAAAAAGGCACCUUAUCUAGCCACUUUUUAAAAAUUGUAUCCACACAUUUUUAACUUGGUGUAGCUGUCUUAUAAAUAAUUUCUCAACAAAAGAUUAUUUUUGAUACACACAGACGUCAUUUUAAAAACAAAUUGCUAAAUAGGAGCUAUUCUCACUCUAAGGUUUUGAAAUUACUAAUUGUUUUCCCGCCAAAAGUGUUUCUGAGAUUUUACGGAGACAGCCAUUUCGAAGUGAGCAGGAAAAGCCCUUAUAAUGCCCCUAGUGGAAUGACUAUGAACUACAGGGCAGAAAGCAUAAGCCAUGUUAUAAUGGGUUUUUAAGGAAAGGUUUUACCAUCCUAUAGAGAUAAGGGUCUCAGAAAUGUACAAAUUAUAUAUGAUAGGUAUAUGGAAUAGUUCAACUCAAUUUAAAUUUCCUUUCAUUUCUGAUGGUGGAUUGUGAACUCCCUGAAAUCAAAACUCCUCACUAAGCUGCUAAAACAUUACAGGAAGCCAUUGUCUGUAGAUUAAGUUUGUUUAAUCUUGAAAUGCAUCCCUGUGUAUUUUAGAAUCGAUUUUUUGUUCUGCUUUUUUCAGAAAGUUGUGCAGAUCCUCAGUUACUUUGACGAGGUAGAAGCAUAAUUUUGAAUUAAGAUUCUAUUAAUUAAGAUUUUAUCUUCAGGGUCCGAAGGGUGAGUCUGUCGUUGGCCCUCCAGGGCCAGCAGGUUCCCCUGGUUUGCCUGGAGUUCCUGGGAUUGGACGACCUGGACCACGGGGUUCUCCUGGCCCUGCAGGGCCUCCAGGUCCAGCCGCCGCCUCUAAAUCAAGUAAGAGUGUUAAAUGGAAAAGACUUGGUUUAGAUGCAGUUUUAUCUGGUGGAAU
ensembl:lncRNA